CAGUCGCCGCGGUAAUACGUAGGUCCCGAGCGUUGUCCGGAUUUAUUGGGCGUAAAGCGAGCGCAGGCGGUUAGAUAAGUCUGAAGUUAAAGGCUGUGGCUUAACCAUAGUACGCUUUGGAAACUGUUUAACUUGAGUGCAAGAGGGGAGAGUGGAAUUCCAUGUGUAGCGGUGAAAUGCGUAGAUAUAUGGAGGAACACCGGUGGCGAAAGCAGCUCUCUGGCUUGUAACUGACGCUGAGGCUCGAAAGCGUGGGGAGCAAACAGGAUUAGAUACCCCUGUAGUCCCUGUCUCUUAUACC
rnacentral:rRNA from 1 species